CGAGUAGCUGGGACUACAGGCGCCCGCCAUGAUGCCCGGCUAAUUUUUUGUAUUUUUAGCAGAGACGGGGUUUCACCCUGUUAGCCAGGAUGGUCUCAUCUCCUGACCUCGUGAUCCGCCCGCCUAGGCCUCCCAAAGUGCUGGGAUUACAGGCGUGAGCCACCGCGCCCGGCCUAAUAAAGGACAAUUUUUAAUAGCCACUGGACUAUUUAAGUGAUCUCUUCUGUCAGUUUCUUUUACCAUCAGAGGACACAGCAGCAAGGUGCCAUCCUAGAAGCAGAGAGCAGACCCUUACCAGACAACCAACCAGCUGGUGCCAUGAUCUUGGACUUCUCGGCCUCCAGAACUGCACUUAAACACGCAGCAUGAGGAAAAUGGAACAACAAUCUUGAGGUGCCUUCUGAAUCAUCAGAUUAAAUUAUGCUUCGGUCUUGCACUGCUGCCUAGGCUAGAGUGCAGUGGUGCAAUCAGGGCUCACUGCAGCCUCACUCAACUUCCCAGUCUCAAGCCAUCCUCCUACCUCAGCCUCUGUUCCACUAAUCUACUUGUCAAUUUUUCCAGCAACACCACACCCUCCUGAUCACCAUAGCUUUAUGGUAAGACACCCCUACUCUGUCCAGACCCAACUGUCAACAGAAGCCAAAGCCAUCUGGAGGAGCAUGUUUCUUACAGCAACAACAAGAAACAAAUUUAUUAGCUAACCUAACCACUAAUGACGCAAGAGACAAUUCUAAGGACUUUCAAAACAGCAAAGUAGGAGCAGCUGCUACCUCUAGGGAUGAGGGAUGCAAUUGUCCAAUUAUUGGUGAAAUUGUCAUUUCAUGCUAUUGGCUAUUUGAAAUUCCUCCUCUAAUUUCAGAAUAAAUCACUGAAAUUGACAUCGGCCAGUCUGAAUUUCAAGAAAUUACCUGCUGAAGACAAGAGGGAUCUCUUCUUCAGAUUUGCAGUCUGGGGAAGACACAGCCUCUACUGUACUUUAGAACCUGAGAUAUGGUGGUGGAGGGAGCCCUGGGUCGAGUGGUCAGAGCUCCGGACUCCAGCCCCAUGCAACUUCAAAAUAUGACAAAUGUCUUGAAGGGGAGAUUGGCAUGCAGAUGAGGAAGGCCCUCUCGCCAACACAUUUGUAUUUCCUCUGUACUGUGAGACUGUGGGAGAUUUACUGCGACAUUUAGAAGCUUUCUUCCAAACUCCUGGGCCUCCGACACUGGUUCUAAACUCAGCAAAUGUUCUUUGGGAAAAACAGACAGUGCAUGUGAGGCCCCUCGAGUUUGGAAUUUAUGUCUCCAGCUUCACAUGGUCUCUCAAGUGCUUAUGCUUUUCUUCUCUCUGCCACCCACAUUCCCACAUCCCGCCCACCCCCCAACUUUCCUCCCUUCACCUUCCCAUGGAGACUUUUUGCCUGGGCUAAAUCUGAUCCUCAGCCCACUCUCAGAAUCGAUAAAUGCCCCUAGGUGAUUGUAAGCUCACCUAAGAUAUACUUUUUCUCCUCUAGAAUUUUAGUUUAUUAGAUUUUUCUAGUUGUCUUUGCAAAAGCGUUAACAGGCUCUGACUUCUGACAUUCAACUAGAUGUGGAAUAUCCAACCCCUAGCAUUUCAUGGAAUGUACUGACCAAGAUAAAAUGUGUUCUUAUUAAACAAUGCCAUUUCUUGACCACUUCUGUUUUUAGGAAUUGUGGUAUCUGAGUCAUGGUGAUUAGAAGUACUAAUGAAAUAAAUGGGAAAAUUAAACUUCUACUAACAUUUCAUAUAGUAGGGAGAUGUCUGUGAAGAAUUAUAACUGGUACAGAUUUUGUGUUUAUAAACAAGGAGACAGAAAAUGCAGAAAAUAAAAAAUAUUUUAUUUAGUUUUAAAGUGGUCAGAGUACUUUGUUUCUAAUCUCAUAACAUUAACUAGCAACAGAUUGAACUUUUAAGCAAAUUCCUCUGACCUAGUAGCUACUAGGAUUACCUACUGCAUGUAGAAACCAUUCUUAACUUGAGGGCCACAUAAAAAGAGGCCAUUGUCAGUAAUUUGCCAACCCUUGAUCCAGACCAUGUAUUGCUCUACCUCUAAACCAUAGUUGCUUCAUUUGCUUAAGUCUUUUCACAUAAUAAAACCCUUAUUAUAAGGAGGUGGUGCUGUUACCAGGACAACCAGGAACUGGGCCUCUACUAUUGUCAGCUGAAUUCUCUGCUCCGUUGUCAAUUCUCAACUCCAUUUCUGGCUUACCUCAAACAGAGUCACAAGAAAGUAAAUAUUUUGCAAUCUUCUUGUCCUUAGCUGUUCGUUCCUCCAGAAUGACAUAGAGAUUUGUAAAUAUUCACUGGAAUUCAAUGGCUUCAUGCAUUCUAUUUCCACAAACAAAUCCUGAUACAUUUCUCUCCUUCAAUAUAAAGUACUCAUUUUCUGAUCCGUAUUAGCCAGCAUCUUGCACUCCAAAUAACCAGUAACAAAAAGAUCCAUGGGUUGAGGUGAGAUUAUUGCUUUAGAUAGAGAAGUAUCUGACCAUUGUUAAUUACUUUGAAAACAGAUAUGUCAAAAAAGAUAAAACAUACAUUUAUUGUCCCUGACAAUUUACAAACCAAAAUAUACCAUAAUGCAACAAACUAUCUGGGUUGUGGCUUAUCUCCUCAGUUGAAACACUAUUGCCAAUGCUAAACAAUGGAACACAGUAUUUGGCUAUUGGCUAAAGAAAAUGAUGUUCAUACAGCUUAGACAGAAAUUAGUCAUUGAGUCACUAGAGACUAUAAGCAGCAUAUGAAUGCCUGAAACUUACAGAAGAAUCAAUACAGGCUAUUAAACUCUCAUUUCUUAGAAUACCGUAUACUUGCGUGUUUAAACUGACAUCUUAAAAAGUUUUGUAAAGAGCAAUUCAAACUCACAGCAUGAUAAAUAAUCUUUAGGUUUAAUGAGACCUCAAGAACUAGACCAGCUUGAAGCAUGCCAUCUUACCUAGUUACUUAAGAAGCUAGUUUUUCCUUUUGUAACAUGAUCUCAGAAAAAAGAAAAUAUAAUCAUUGUUCUAAGGCAAUCCACAAACUCUGUUACUCCCAUUACAUUUUCAAAACUGCAGACACUCAGGGGGUGUCCGAUUCAUGCCUGGGGCCAUGUGAAACACCCACCUCUGUGAGUAGCUUUAUUAACUCUAUAAACACUUCAAGACAUUCCUAGCAGUGUGGGGUAGCACACAUAUCUAUUGUCUAUCUUAGGUUUGGAAUCAUUUUUCCUCUUAAAAAUAACACACUGAACCAAUUAGCUUUUCUAAAUCAAAUUAACCUAAUAGCAUUCAAAAACUGACAAACAUAAUCUGCUUGUUCUAAGACAAAAGUGGAUUAGUGAACAGAAUCAUAUCUCUAGUCAGGUCCAAAUCAAGUUAUAAAUUCUAACCAAACAGUGAUUGCUGGAAUAAGUCAUAUUAUUAGUAUGCAUAGUCAUACUGAUCUCAAAUGUAAGCAACAUAGGCCUUUUCAGCAGGGAGAUAUAAAAGUUUAGAGUUGAAGAAUGUCUUUUCAUGUUGUGGUAGAGAGCUUGUUUCCUUUGACGUACAUGGCUCCCUCAAGCCUUAGGCUAUUUAGUUACAUCCCUUGUAGUCACAGGAAGGAAUAGCACUCCUCAUUUUUCUAUACCAUCUUUUAGGCAUGUUAUUGUUUAAUACUUUUUUUUUUGUUGCCUGCCUGCUGCUUGUUAGUAUAUGCACCAAAGCAAAUGAGGUAAGACUUCAAUGCAUCAAAUGCUUUUCCUUAAAACAACAUUUUUAUUGAAAUAUGAAACAAAUAUUUUUAUUACCUUCUUUAUAGAAGUAUUUUUUAAAGAAUAGUGAUUGAUAAUAUUGACAGAAAGGAGGACCUAUGAAUUAUCUAUAAAUUAUCUUUAUAUUUGAACUAUUCACAAAUGCAGAAAAUUUAAAAAUCAAAUACAUUUUUCACUUGCUAAUAUAUCUUUUCAUGAGACAUUAUCCUAUAAAAUCCACAGAGGGAUGUGUCCAUUUCUAUUCUCUGCCAACCCUUUUGGUACCACCCAUUGGACAUAACAUUUAGAAUUAAAUUAAGGUUAUCACUAUUGUUAAGCAAAUACUAUUAGAGGUUAGACUGGCAGGUCUUCAGAAAUAGCUCACACUGGAGCCAUGCAUCUCAGUACUCACACUCCUGUGUAGCCUCCUUUCCUUGAAUCUGAGAAUCUGAGAUGGUCCUGUAACUUGUUUUUAACCAGAAGAACAUGGUAGAAGUGAUACUGCCUGACUUCUGAGAUAAAAUUGUAAGAUUCCUUGCAGAUUUUCACCUAGGUCCCUUGGAAUGAGUACCCUGGAAAAAGCCAGCAGACACCACGCUGUGAGCAAAUGCCCAACCUAGCCAAGCAGUGGAGCAACAUGGGGAAAACGGAGAUACGUGGACAUUCUCCAGCUAUUUCAGUCAACCCAGCCAAGGAGAAGACAUGUGAGUGUAGAUGCUAUUGUAUAUGUCUAGGCCAGUAAAGCCUUUAGCAAGCUGGAGCCCCAGCAGCUAUUUGAAUUCAAUGAGAGACCCCAAGUGAGAGCCACCAUAUUGACCCAAUCAACACACCGAAGUGUGAGAGAGAAUAAUUAAGUGCUAGCCUAAGCCACUGAAUUUUGAGGGUGGUUUGUUACACAGCAAUCAACCAAAGCAAAGAUAUUGGUUACUUGUUUGGGGGUUUCAUUUUUAAUUAUAACAUUCCAUGGCUUCUAAACAAAUUUUGCACUUAUAAUUUUAUCAAUUUACUGAUAAUCCUGCUGUCCUUGUUUUGUAUCUACAAUGCUUAGAUUAGAAAAUCUAAUGGAGAAGUGUGUGUGUUUGUGUGUGUGUGUGUGUGUGUGUGUGUGUGUAUUUCACUCUUUUAUAUAAUGGAUUUUGAGGAACAACUAGAUUGGCUUUCUAAGAGAGGGGGAAAUGCUUCUGAAUAUUUUAAGUAAAAUUUUGAUCUACAACAACUCUGCUGUAAAUGUUUAAUAUAAUAUUAUUUUGAGACUUUGCAUGAGCUAAAAACAUCUAAAGCUAAUAAAGCCAGGCUUUUAAAGAGAAAAAGAGUAAUUAUAGGUUGCCUGUAAGAAACUCACUUACUUUACUUUUUUAUUUAUCUAUUUUUUAACUUAUCAUUUUAGAUACUCUCUGAAUUUUAAUUGUAGUGUUUAGAUGUUGAUCUGUCUUUACAUGUCAAACAUUUAAAUUAACUCUUUUGCCUGAAAGAAGAAAUACCAAGAUACAUAAAUUGAAUAAAAGGAGUGGUCUUGAGCACCAUAAAAAUACAAUGUUUGGGCCGGGCAUGGUGGCUCAUGCCUGUAAUCCCAGCACUUUGGGAGGCCGCAGCUGGUGGAUCACGAGGCCAGGAGAUUGAGACCAUCAUGACUAACACAAUGAAACCCCAUCUCUACUAAAAAUACAAAAGCAAAUUAGCCAGGCGUGGUGGCAUGCACCUGUAGUCUCAGCUACUCGGGAGGCUGAGGCAGGAGAAUUGCUUGAACCCAGCAGGUGAAGGUUGCAGUGAGCUGAGAUCACACCACUGCACUCCAGCCUGGGUGACAGAGAGAGACUCCGUCUCAAAGAAAAACAAAACGAUGUUUCAAAAUCUACACAGAAAAGAAAAAGAGGGGAGAAGAAAACUAAAAAGAGACUCUAAGAAAAAUAUUGAAGAAGAAGAUGGUUGGUGAAGGGGAUAUUGCUCUAGUACUAGUAUUUCUUUAGGCAGCUGUUUAAUGUUGCCUCUGAAUAAGUACAUAUUUUAAGGCAGUUAACAAUCUGGUUUAUGAAAAAAUGGGAAAUCACUGUGUGUUAGUGAGCCAGACAGAUGUGUAUAGUGUGGAUAGGGUUCUCUCUUUAAAAUGCACAGAACUGGAAUUUAGCGUUAACCUCAUAAGCACUUGAUGUUCAUGUGGGUGCUCACCAGGCAAUAUGCUCCAGCUAUUGAACAGAAUGCAUUCACUUGCUGUAUACUGAGUGGUCCCCUAGUAAGCUGGAAAAAGUUGUACUUAUGUCAUGUUUAAUUUAUAUAGUGUAGACAUCAUGAAUAAUUAAAUUUAAUAACUACUCAAUGUCAGUGUUUAUAUAUGGCUAGUAGCCAAUAUUUUUUGGUUCUUCAAGAAGAAAGGUACAUGUCUUAGGAAAACUUGAUACAGGAAAAUAUCAGUAUUCUCACUUCAGAGUCAUUCCUUUGGGGAAAAAAAAAGGCUACAAAUUUCCUAACUACGUGUUAAGCAUUGGUGCAGGCAUUGAUAAAGUUUGGAUGUUUGUCCCCCACAAAUGUCAUAUUGAAAUGUAAUCCCCAAUGAAGACGGGGCCUGGUAGGAGGUGUUGGCAUCCUGGGGUCAGAUCUCUCAUGAAUGGCUUGGUGUUGUCCUUGGGAUAGUGAGUAAGUUCUUGCGAGAUCUAGUUGUUUAAGAGUCUGGCACCUCCUCCCUCUCUCUCUUGCUCCCUCGCUCUCACCAUGUGACAUGCUUGCUCUCCCUUCACCUUCUGCUAUGAUUGGAAGCUUACUGAGGCCCUCACUAUGAGCAGAUGCUGGAACAAUGCUUAUACAGCCUGCAGAACUGUGAGCCAAUUAAACUUCUUUUCACAUUACCCAGCCUCGGGUAUUUCUUUAUAGCAAUGCAAGAGUUGGCUAACAUGGGCAUAGAGGGCAUAUAGCAGCUACAUUUGCCUGAGGUGUAUAGCAAAGGUGGUGUCAGGAAAGGUUAGCAUUGAGCUUUGUUCUUUAAAGUGAGUAAGUUACCAGGAUGGUAAAGGAGUAUCGAUGCAAAGUAAGGAGUGGAGAAAUACAUUUUAAGUGGAGGGAAUUAUUUAAAACAGGGCCCGAAUGUCUUCCUCGGGUGUUGCCAUAUAUUGUAUCUGAACAUCUUAUAUAGUAUUUAUUAUUUGAUGAUGUAAAAUCAGUUUCUUAUUGUUUCCUUCUUUCUCUAGAUUGCAAGCUUAGGGGGCAGCAAUAAUACGUCACUUAUGUUUGAGUCCUAAUUCCUCAUACAGUCUUUGGCAUAAAUAAUAGGCACUCAGUAAUUACUAUAAAUAAAGAAAGAAAAUAGCUGUAGUAAAAAUGGAUAACAUUUGUUGUAACAGUUUCAUUUAGAUAUUUAUGAGAGUGUUAGAGCUCCCUGUUAUAUUGUAAGAUUUUUUAGGGAAGGGAUCUUGCAUAAGUUUUAUCCUUUAAAUGGUGCCUGACUCAUAGUUAGAACCCUAUGGAAAGCAAAUUAUAGUCCUUUACAUUUCUUUAAUCAGCCAGGGCCUAAUUUAACCCUAUACGUUUAUAUAAAGGGCAGAAAUUAUUACAAUAAAUAAUCUUGAAACAGCAGAAUUCUGCAUUACAAAUAUGAGGCUGCCAUAUUUCUGUGUUUCUGGUUGCCUAGAAACAAAAAUGUGAAGUUGUAUGAAACUAUAAGAGUUUGUACUCAUAAGAUAUUCUAUGCAAAGUUCAGCCUGCCUCUCUGGGUUUGGAAAGCAUCAAUUCUGAGGAGCUUCAGACAAUAUUGCGGUCUUCAUAGCUGAAAGUUUGCAAAGUUGGGCUUGUUUCAUGGUAUUACCGGCAUAUCCAAUUAGCUAAAGAAAAUAAUUCUUCAUUUAGAGUAUCCAGAACAGACCAAUAACAAUAUUGUUCAAUAACAACUGCUCUAAAU
rnacentral:lncRNA from 10 species